UGCUGUGCUAAAUGCAGCCGUGGAGUCCUGCGAGAAUGUUCUGGGAUAAUUCCCGAGUGCUGUCGGCUCGGUGGCACCGGGGGCUCGGGCAGAGCGACAAACAGCUCAGCCUUAGCCCGAUAUAAUUAACGUAAUUAACGCUUCCCGGAGCGGCACGGCUGCAAUCAGUGUCUGCCACUCAUUAAGGACAGCUCAUUUAGGUGUGGCUGGACAAAAAUCGAAGCUCUUUGUGCCUCACAAAGGAGAGUCCUGAACCCUGGAAGCUGGUGUGUCUCUGACAGCCACUCUUGGUGGGCAAGCUUCAUUCCUGCUACACAUCUCCAAAGGGCUCUGUGGGGAUCUCCUGGGUUUUCCCUUGUGGAUGAAGACCUCAAGGAGCCAGAGGAAAGGACUUGCAGAGCAGUUAUAGCACGAGGCUCCACCAGUGAACGAGCCCAUGCUGGUCAGCACCAAGUCCUCCUCCAGCCCCCCAGGUGAGUCACACUGCUCCUCCUUUUUUAGCACCUUGCAGCACAUCACUGUAACGUGAAGGCCUGGAGCACAUGUUCCUCCUGAGCUGUGGGAUCAACGGGAGCAUCCAUGGGCAUGUGGACCACAGGGAGGGUGAGGGGACAGCAAGGAGAGGUGGGGUCUCAGCACAGCAGGCGAGCAGGACGGUCAGGCUGGGCUGGGCUGCAGUGGUGAGGGAGGGCAGAGACCUCUGCCCUCUUCCCGUGUGCCCAUGGCCAGGGCUGGGCAGCAGGGUGGGGGCUCUUUGUCCCAGGGGGUCAGGCCACCCUCCGUGCAAACAGCAAACAGGUCCUUGGCACUGCGGCCUGGGAGAGGAUGUUCUCCAAGGAUACAGAGGUCUGCUUGUGUGUCUCUGUGUGGGUGAGUUAUUUAUUUCUUUAAAAAUUAAUUUUCUGGCCGAGUGUGGAGCUACCUGCUUCUGGGUCACUAAAAAUAGCUGUAAACACGACGCUGAGGAAGCGGCAAGCAGGAGUGUGGCUGUGUGCCUUUAUUUCAGGGAUGGCAGCGCCAUUUAGAGAUGCACACCACAGUUAGAUUAAAGGCUUAAUGGCUGCAAUUAAACUUCCUGCAGGAAUGAUUUCCUUGCUGAGCUUUUCUCGGCAGCAAGCCCUGCGGUGCCAGUGUUUCUCCAGAAGAGAGGAGGGAAAGAGGGGAAGCCCAGCAGGAGCCCAGACAAAGGUGCAGCCUCUCACCCCUUGGCCAGCUCUCAGGGUUAAAUAAAAGCCCUGCUGCAGCUAUCUCAGCAGCAUUUCUGGUGCACCAGAUACUCUGCAGAAGUAAGGAGGUAUGAAGAAAACCAGUGGGCAGGUGUCUGGGCGCCAUCGGGCAGCCUGGGAAAAGUCCACCCACUUGCAGCAGCUGAGGAAACCCUCUCCAUUAAAAUGAGCAGGAGGUUCAGCUCAGACACAGUGGGAGGGGGCCUGGUAGCCACACAGCUGAGGACCUGGGGAUACAGGACAUGUUUUGGUGGCUCCAACUAUCUCUGCAGCAUGAGGACAAGCCAGCAGGGCACAGAAGCCAGGCAGCUGCUUACUCCCUCUCAAAUCAAAGCCAACUCUCUCUAUUCA